AGAGAGAGAGAGAGAGAGAGAGGCGUUUCCACGCUCGCUGGCCGGUUUUGCGCUCCUUUUUGGUGGAGAGCAGUCACGACCAUCCUCGCUUCGUGCGUGCGCGUCCACGUCGCGGCCUCAGUUCCCACGCCGAGGACCCCUGCCUCCUGUCCUCCCCCGUUUAGCUCCUUAUCGCAUCACAGUGACUUCGAGCCACUGGACUUUUGCCUUUUUUUCCCCCCUCUGUCCAACGAGACUGACCCGUUUCCGGCUCCGAUUCGAGCUCCACUCCGCCAUCAAAUUUCUUCCGACGUCCAAGCUUCCUCGCUGCGACGCUUGGCCGAGCGCGAGAUCCCAAUUGUGGUUGGUUGCGUCGUGUGGCUCGGAAGAUGGCCGAGUACAGCUCUCUGCUCAGCGACCUGUCGGACAACAUCACCAACGAGGACCUGGAGCAGCUCAAGUCGGCUUGCAAGGAGGACAUCCCUGAGGAGCACAGCGACGCCAUCACCUCCUGCAAGGAGUGGUUCAGCUACCUGGAGAAGAACGACAAGCUGGCCCACGACAACCUGUCGUACAUGGAGCACAUUUUUGAGAUCUCUCGGCGCCCCGACCUCCUGACCCGCGUGAUCGAGUAUCGCACCACCGUGCUCAAAAUCGACGAGGACGACGAGAUCGACACCAAGCUCACGCGCAUUCCCUCGGCCAAGAAAUACAAAGACAUCAUCCGUCAGCCAUCCGAAGACGAGAUCAUCAAGUUGGCUCCUCCCCCCAAAAAGGCGUAAAGUUGGCCACCAGUCACUGCUCCAGUCAACGCGCUGGAUGACACGCAGCCCUUACACCCACACACACACACACACACACACACACACACACACACACACACGUAACCAAACUGACAACAUAUUUGUACUCUCCUGACAUGGAUUCUGUUUGUUAAUAUUUGACGAUUCUGCCCGGCGU